UUGCUUUGAUAGGCUGAAGCCAGGCUUGCGGCAAAGCGAGCAGCACGCGUUGAAGCUCGGGAAAUCCGAAUGAAGGAGCUUGAGCGGCAGCAGAAAGAGAUCUAUCAAGUUCAAAAGAAAUAUUGUGGUCUGGAGGCAAAGUUUGGUGACAUCGAGCAGUGGAUGGAAGACACUGAGCGUUACAACCGUAAAUCGAGAAGAUAUACUUCGGUUUCAGAUGAAGAUGAGCGUAUGUCAGUGGGUAGUCGUGGAAGCCUAAGGGUUAGUAGCAAGUAAUUGUACCUGCAUAACUAUUCCUACCAUUAUAUGAAUGG